rnacentral:rRNA from 1 species
UACAGAGGGUGCGAGAGUUAAUCGGAAUUACUGGGCGUAAAGCGCACGUAGUCGGCUUUGCAAGUCGGGUGUGAAAUCCCCGGGCUCAACCUGGGAACUGCAUCCGAGACUGCAUUGCUAGAGUAUGGGAGAGGGAAGCGGAAUUUCUGGUGUAGCAGUGAAAUGCGUAGAUAUCAGAAGGAACAUCAGUGGCGAAGGCGGCUUCCUGGACCAAUACUGACGAUCAGGUGCGAAAGCGUGGGGAGCAAACAGG